GAUGAACGCUAGCGGCAGGCUUAACACAUGCAAGUCGAGGGGCAGCAUGAGGGUUAGCAAUAACCCUUGAUGGCGACCGGCGCAAGGGUGCGUAACGCGUGAGCAACUUGCCCGUUUCAGGGGGAUAACCGGUGGAAACGCCGACUAAUACCCCAUGGUGAUGGUUUGAGGCAUCUCUUUCCAUCUAAAGAAUUUCGGAAACGGAUAGGCUCGCGUGACAUUAGCUAGAUGGCGGGGUAACGGCCCACCAUGGCGACGAUGUCUAGGGGUUCUGAGAGGAAGGUCCCCCACACUGGAACUGAGACACGGUCCAGACUCCUACGGGAGGCAGCAGUGAGGAAUAUUGGUCAAUGGGCGGAAGCCUGAACCAGCCAAGUAGCGUGAAGGAUUACAGCCCUACGGGUUUUAAACUUCUUUUAUGCGAGAGUAAUGUGCGCUACGUGUAGCGUAUUGCAAGUAUCGCAUGAAUAAGCAUCGGCUAACUCCGUGCCAGCAG
rnacentral:rRNA from 1 species